GGAUAUAUGGCUCAGUGGUAGGGUGUGUGCUUAGCCUGCAUGAGGUCCUGGGUUCAAUCUCCAGUACCUCUA
rnacentral:tRNA from 1 species